ensembl:lncRNA
UGUGUCUCCAACUGAGAGGCUUCCUCAAAAACGAGGCCUUUUUAAAAAAAAUCAGUGCUCCCCACUGUGCUGUGUGAAGCCCCGUGUGGCUUCCCGCUGCCCUUCCAACAAGGUCAAGGCCCCUCACACCCAGCCUCCAUGAUGUGACCCCACAUCUUCCCGUGACCCUCGGCUCACCGGGUUUCACUCACACUCGCCCGAUUUCUGACCCUGAGACCACAGUCUGCUCUCCCUCAGGCCUUUCCUCUCUCGCCCCAACACUGCUCUCCAGGGGGCUGGCUCCUGGCGGGGCCUGUGGCUCAAGGUCAGGACACCUGGAAGAGGGCACCCGAGGAGCUGGCAAGACGUCCGUCCAGUGCCAGCAUAGGCCCGCCCCUGGAAGGCGCUCAGUAACGUGGGAGAGAAGGAGGAAAAGAUGGAGAGAAAGUAUAGUGCGACUUAAGUCAGGCGGAGAAGGGAGCAUCAGCUUCAUCUCUUGAGGAUCAAGAAUGACAACAUCCACUCACGUCAAGAUAAUCCACACACAGACCGGUGGGACAAUCGGUUUCUUCAUCUCCUCAGUAAAUCCUUUGUAAGGGCUACGAUGUGCCCAACACAACAUCAACACGCAGCCCGCCUUCGGGGAGCCCCAGCCAGGGGCGCUGGGCAGACAGAACACCCCUGGCAUGCGGAGCCUCAUGGAGCCAAUCUUGUUUUUGCUGCCCACCACCCUUUUCAAUUGGAGAGAACUCCGGCAGUGACGAUGGCUUUGCUGGAACCCCCGCAGCAGACAGCCCUGAGAUCAAGCAGAGAGCAUCAUAAAAGAGGGGACUGUCCUUUUACUCGGAGGCCCCACAGUCACAUCAGGAGGCUGGAGUCUGGCUUUUGUGCUCAGAAGAGAACUUACCAGCUCGAUAACUUUGCAGUCUACAGGGCAUGGCGACCGGUCGCACCAGUUCUGGAGACGGAGAGUCCAGGGUCGAGGUGCUGCCGACUCGGUUCCUGGGGAGAGCCGCUCCUGGCUUGCAGAUGGCCUCCUUCUUGCUGCGUCCUCGCCUGGCAGAGAGAGCAUCUUCCUCAAGUCUUGUCUUAUCUGGGCACCGAUCCCCUCAUGGGGGCUCCACCUUCACCACCUAACCACCUCCCAGAGGUCCCACCUCCCAACAUGCUCGCAGUGGAGAUUCGACUUCAACUUACGAAUCCAGGAGACACAGGGUUCGGCCCGCUGCACCAGGAUUAACCCGCCGCCCUGGCACUCUUCUUGUCCCCGCUGACUGCUGCGCUGCAGGGUCCUCAGACUCGGCGGGCACAAGAAUCCCCAGGCUGUGAGCCUCCCAGGAAGGUAUGCUGCUGGGCCUGCCCCCCAAUUCAGAUUCAGGAGGACUCAGGGACCUGGAAAUCUGCAUGCCUGACAAGCCCUCCACAUCACUCUAACGAAGUGGUCCAUGCAGCACACUUUGAAAAACGGCGUCUAGGGUGUUGGGGAUGCUCCACUUCUGUGUCAUGAGCUGUCAUUUCCUUGAACUCAGAAGCAUUUUGCAACAUACGAAGAGCCAUGUAAAUAAAAACAACUUAGUGUCAGCCAUGUGCCAGACACAGUCAUCGUUCAUCUCAUUUGUUACCACAGCAACCCAAGGAGGUCGUGCCGGCCUCCGCUUGCUAGGCUGCUAGGCUGAGGCUCCAGAAGUUACAGAUCCUGCCCCAGAUCACGCAACACGCAAAUACCCAGGUGUCGCCCACCGAGGUGCUCGGACCCACGACGCCUCAGGCCUCUCCGUUGGUUCACGACGCCCUGCGGGUCCAGAACCAAGGUCAACCCAGGGCAGGCAAUCAGGAAUGAGACUUCGCAGUUUCAUCUGGACUCAGGCAAGUACUAAAUGGCGAGCAGACGGUGGACCACGGACAGGGACUGUGCUGGCCUUGGGCAGGUAGCAACUCUCUGCCUCAGCAGCCUCCUCUAUGAGGCAGAAAUCGAAUGCCGACUCCACAGGGCUGCUCGAGGAUUGCAACACGUGUCCAGAGCCCAGGACACAGGAAGCGCUCCGCGAGCAUAGUCAUUGGGACCGUGGCAGAUGCGGCGACUGUUGUGGGAGGUUGAGAUGUCUUCGCUUAACAAGGUGGCUUCACUGAUACAGAUGUGGGCUUCCUUUAAGCUUUUAAACUAGUUAAUUGGCUGUUGAAAACAUUUUAAAGAUUAAGUAGUAAAAAAAAUUCAUUUCUAGUUAAUUAGCAACUCACUCUAUUAUUAGUUUUCAACCCGUAAUUUUUACAGCCCACGCUGCUCUCUUCUGCUCCGUCCUAUGACUCGUCACCAUCUCACCCAGGGUUGCUCUGUUUCCUUGUGACACCUCGUUGGCAAUGUUGUUACUUAAGUGUGCGAAGCAUUAUGGGAUACGUUUGGAACGAAAGUCACUUUGCGAACAGAAAUGAAGCUGACAUACGUUGCAUUCAGACCUCUAGUGGGGACCACAGGGGGGACAAGGGAGAAGAGCUCAUGGAUGCCCUUGGUUGUGGGCUGAGAAAAACCGCCUCUCUCCCUGCCUGGUUGACCAAGAGGAUGUUACUGAGAGAAUCUCCCUGGGGAGGGAAAGAGUCCUUCCUUGCUUAUGAUGCAAACUGAAAAUGAAAAGAUAACACGAGAGCAGAGUUCCUCGGCUUCUCCGUUCUGCUCCUCUCAGGGACCACGAAAGAGACACACAGACUCUUUGCAAGUUCUAUUUCCACAUCUGUAAAAAUAAGAAUUUGUUGGUGGUGGAGGAAGUGAGAGGAAUGGGGUCAGUCCCUGCUGUCCAGAUAGAUUUGGGGCUGGGGCAUACCAGCUGACGGAUUUGAAAAACAAACCAAGAGCGGAGAUGCUUUUAAUCAAAGAGACAAACUCAAGAGUAGAACUACAAUUGACCGCAAACCUGCUGGGAGCCACUCUUUGGCAAGUGGUGGGGGAAGGGCAGCUGGGCGUGUUUGGGGACCCUGGUUACAGGAUUAAAGGGUUUUGCUCACUUCUCUCCACUGGGAUGUCCAGGGCAGCUGCCAGCCCAUAUGGUCCCCUUGUGCAAGUUAGGAAACACGUUCCCUCAGAGAGGGCUGCUCCACACCUGGCGGUUGAAAUAGGGGCAGCCGGGCUGCAUUUAUACCCUAUGCUGAGCCCAGCGGAUGCAGAGAGAGAGAGAGAAGCCAUGUGUGGUAUGCAGGGGGAAGUGCCCUGUCCCCCUUCAAGGAAGGACCGCCCAGCUAUGUGAGCAUCCUCCACGAGGUCAUGCCUUCCCGGGGCAGCUGGCAUCGGUGACUGAGCCACGCUGGGGCACUAAAAUCUGGCUCCUCGGGCUCAAGGCAGGAUGCUCUGUGGGGCGCACCUGCUGCAGCCCCCGCCAGCGCCUGCGUGGACUUCUCCCUCUGCCCAGCCCUGCUUCCCCCAUCUUUGACUUCCAUCGACAGGUGUUGGUCCCUAAUAAACAUGUCCGACCACAAAUUCCAUGUCAGCACCUGCUUCUUAAGAACCCAACCUGCAUCUCCACAUCCUGCCCUUUCAGUCCAGUUGGGGAGACAGACAUCAGCAAAAGAAUCUGGAACAUAUAUGAAAAAUUGCAGCUAAAAUCUCUGGAAAAGGGGAGCUGCCUGAUGGUGGAAG